rnacentral:rRNA from 1 species
GACGGAGGGUGCAAGCGUUGUUCGGAAUUACUGGGCGUAAAGCGUACGUAGGUGGCGGAUUAAGUCGAAUGUUAAAGCCCGGGGCUCAACCCCGUGGAUGCAUUCGAUACUGGUUUGCUAGAGGGUGUUAGAGGAAAGCGGAAUUCCGAGUGUAGCGGUGAAAUGCGUAGAUAUUCGGAGGAACAUCAGUAGCGAAGGCG